GUCUUGGUGGGUCAGUGGUAGAAUUCCUGCCUUUCAUGCAGGAAACCUGGGUUCAAUUCCCAGCCUAUGCU
rnacentral:tRNA from 1 species